GAGGGUUUAGCUCAGUGGUAGGGUGUGUGCCUAGCAUGCUCAGGGUCUUGGGUUCAACCCCCAGUUCCUCCA
rnacentral:tRNA from 1 species